rnacentral:rRNA from 1 species
AGAGACAGGUGCAAGGUUAAGCAGAAGAUGCGGAGCCGCAGCGAAAGCGAGUCUGAAUAGGGCGCAUGAGUACGUGGUCGUAGAC